rnacentral:rRNA from 1 species
UAGGGAAUCUUCGGCAAUGGGGGGAACCCUGACCGAGCAACGCCGCGUGAGUGAAGAAGGUUUUCGGAUCGUAAAGCUCUGUUGUUAAGGAAGAACGAGUGUGAGAAUGGAAAGUUCAUACUGUGACGGUACUUAACCAGAAAGGGACGGCUAACUACGUGCCAGCAGCCGCGGUAAUACGUAGGUCCCGAGCGUUGUCCGGAUUUAUUGGGCGUAAAGCGAGCGCAGGCGGUUAGAUAAGUCUGAAGUGAAAGGCAGUGGCUCAACCAUUGUAGGCUUUGGAAACUGUUUAACUUGAGUGCAGAAGGGGAGAGUGGAAUUCCAUGUGUAGCGGUGAAAUGCGUAGAUAUAUGGAGGAACACCGGUGGCGAAAGCGGCUCUCUGGUCUGUAACUGACGCUGAGGCUCGAAAGCGUGGGGAGCGAACAGG